AGUGAACGCUGGCGGUAGGCCUAACACAUGCAAGUCGAACGGCAGCACAGUAAGAGCUUGCUCUUACGGGUGGCGAGUGGCGGACGGGUGAGGAAUACAUCGGAAUCUACUUUUUCGUGGGGGAUAACGUAGGGAAACUUACGCUAAUACCGCAUACGACCUACGGGUGAAAGCAGGGGAUCUUCGGACCUUGCGCGUUUGAAUGAGCCGAUGUCGGAUUAGCUAGUUGGCGGGGUAAAGGCCCACCAAGGCGACGAUCCGUAGCUGGUCUGAGAGGAUGAUCAGCCACACUGGAACUGAGACACGGUCCAGACUCCUACGGGAGGCAGCAGUGGGGAAUAUUGGACAAUGGGCGAAAGCCUGAUGCAGCCAUACCGCGUGGGUGAAGAAGGCCUUCGGGUUGUAAAGCCCUUUUGUUGGGAAAGAAAAGCAGCAGGUUAAUACCCCGCUGUUCUGACGGUACCCAAAGAAAAAGCACCGGCUAACUUCGUG
rnacentral:rRNA from 1 species